rnacentral:lncRNA from 1 species
UCCACUGCCGCGAGCCCAAAUCUAGACCUGACCUGGAGGCACAGUCUCUCGCAGGCUCUUGCUCCCUGUGCCCAGUAGCAGUUUGAGUCCGGGACACUCCCCAGGGCCAUCUGGGGCUGCCCAGGCACUACAGCCAGCAGAAGAUGCUACUGGUGUCCCUGAUGUUUGGUCAUUUUCAAUGCCAAUUAACUACAAUGGUUCUCCCACACCUGGAAGCUAAUGAGUAAUAAGCACUAUUAAGGCUUAUUUCAAAUGUAAAAAACCUUGAGAUAAUGUACUAAAUUGUUC